rnacentral:tRNA from 1 species
GCGAGAGUGGCGGAAUUGGUAGACGCACCAGAUUUAGGUUCUGGCGGGGUAACCCGUGGGGGUUCGAGUCCCCCCUUUCGCA